CUUAAAAAGAGAGAAGUUUCCAAACACCAGGAAACCUUCUCACUGCCGAAUCCGUGCCGAGCUUUGGAAGCACAGAGGACAACAUAACAGGGAGAAAAAAUAAAUAAACAAUUAAAAAUCACAGAUUGCGAGCCCUACGGUAACUCCUCCAGCGGAGAAGCAGCGCAGACGCCUGCAUCCGCCAUUAGCAAGCGGGGGCUGGGCAGGGAGGCGCGGCGCGGGCUGCAUCUCUGAGAGUAAGAAUCUGGCCUGAAUACCCUGAGCACUAUCUGAGCGAAAUAAUUUGGGCUAGCAAACCAGACUGUGGGAUAUCUACCAUGCGAAAAGCCAGCCCUAACCUAAGACACCGCCAGCCCGCGCACGGAACAAAGGACUAAACAGAGGAAGCCGGCUGCAAACCUUCCCCCUCCGGUGAUAGGCAGCCAGAGCCGGAAGGGGGCAAUCGCAGCCCCAGAGAGACAUUAUCUAUAAAACUGGCUUCUUUGCUAACUAAAACUUAUUGGGGGUCUGGACGGUCAACAUCUGCCUGAGAAGGUGCGCCGGUUUUACACCCAGAUAACCAAGUGGCGGGGAGGCGAUAAGUCGCAGCAUUGGCGCUCGCCAAACACCUCAUCACCUGAGCUGCUCGGACCUGGGAAGAGCACAAAACGCAGGCCCAACUGAGUCUGCGCCUCUGAGGACUACCUGAGUGCCUGAACCUGAGCGGCUCGGACCUGGGAGGUGCAUGCAACCCAGGCCCAGCCUCGGAUUGUUCCUGGCGGAACAACCUAGAGCCUGAGCAGUGUGGGCAGGGAGGCUACACGCGCCGUGAGCGGGGGCAGACCCAGUGUGGCUGAGGCACUGCGAGCGCACGCCACACAGUAAAAUGAGGUAUGGCAAUAAAAGGCGUUAAAUUUAUAAAAAAAAAAAAAAAAAAAAACUGACCCAGCAUUUCUAUUGCUCUGUAUCUAACCUGGAAAAACACUCCUAAACUGGUACAAAGACACACAGACAUGGAUAUUAAUCAUAGAAUUUUGUUAAUUGUGAACAUAGAUCACAAGCAAAAUAAACAAUGGCAUAUGGACAUUAGGGAAUAUUAUGCAGCAGUUAAAAAGAAAUAGGUGGAUCUAUGUGUCAUAAUAUGGAAUGAAUUCCUAGACAAAUUGUUUUGUAAAUAAAGCAAAUUGCAAGAAGACAUGUAUACGCUGAAAUAAAAACCAAAACCUACAAAAUAAAAAAAAAAAAAGGAGGCCGUGAUCAAGACCAUCCCCAAGAAAAAGAAAUGCAAAAAGGCAAAACGGGUUGUCUGAGGAGACCUUACAAAUAGCUGAGAAAAGAAGAAAAGCUAAAGGCAAAGGAGGAAAGGAAAGAUAUACCCAUUUGAAUGCAGAGUUCCAAAGAAUAUCAAGGAGAGAUAAGAAAGCCUUCCUCAGUGAUCAGUGCAAAGAAAUAGAGGAAAACAAUAAAAUGGGAAAAACUAGAAAUCUCUUAA
ensembl:lncRNA